GAGUGUUCCAUUCUCCCCCUCACCCCUCUGCCACCAUUCCCUGUGCCCAGAACCUAUCUACAGGAGUAAGCAAGUCUAAUAUGUUUCAUCUCUACAACACAGAUGAAUGCCAAUUGUCUACCCACAUCCUGUGUCCAUCCAGUAGGAAAGCUGAGCAUAUGUCCCAGAAAAACACACACAGAAGACACAGGCACAACCAGCUACACAGAGAGGGUGCUGCCUUCAACCAUGCCUACAUAUAGGAUUGACAUAAGAGGUGAUCUGCCUCGUGGAUGAGGGAAAGGCUGUGGGUGUUGUCUACCUGGACUUCAGAAAGCCUUUGAAAUGUCUUCCAUUGCAUUAUCCUGAAAAAAUUAGCAGCCCACAGCUUAGGCCUUGGGUGGUCAGAAUGUGCAGUUAGAAACCAGCAAAAGGUUACUAGAAGAGAGGAAACAUGAGGAGUGGUAAAACAGUCAUACAGUCUCAGGAGCUGGGUUUUGAGAAUCAGGUACCAGAAUGCAAAUAGAUUAAAUCUUGCCUAAUGAACACCUGCAUGUAAUAAUCAGGCCAUUUUCUGAGAAAGCAGCAAUAAACUACUCUACAAGUCA